rnacentral:lncRNA from 1 species
AAAUCCCAUGAAGUAUACAUAAAUCGGUCAAUCGUUAGAUUCGAGCCUAGCUGAAGAAUUAUCCAGGAGUUUAGCUUAAAAAAUAGAAAGAAUCAAUUUUUGAGGCGGUGACCCUUACUCUCAACACCCAACCAAAUGAAAUGGCUGAUUUUUGUCGUCAAAAACAUGAUGACCCAUCGGGCUCCAUAUUUCAAAGAAAAUACAAAAAAUACUGUCCAUUCUCCAUUCAGAGCUAAGUUUUUUGCUUCAAGCUGGAUAUUUUGUAUAUUUUCUGUUGUCCAAACGAAUAAAAUGCACAGUCAGCUCUAAUAGACGAUUUUAGUGUGACGUCACAUCUCGUUAUAAUUUCGAUACCUCGAAAGUCGAAACGUGCCCCAACAAACGAACAUGGAGGAAUCUGCGGGAUAUAGGCAGGGGGGGGGGGGGGUAGGGGUAUUCGCUCGAUGACUGUGUAUGAUAUUACGAGUAUAUUUUACAAUCAAUUCUUGUGAUUGUGAUCUCAAACGUUUUGGUAAAUGAGUAGCUUUCAUUUUUUAAAGUCCCAUGGAUUAAUUGUUUGGUUUCGGGCUAGUUUUGGCAUUAUUUCGUCAUUUGUUCAUUUUGGAGGUUAUGUUUGUUUGUUAGGGCACAUUUCGACUUUCGAGAUAUCGAACCACCACUAUCGCUCCGUGACGUCACCACUAAAAUCGUCUAUUGUAUUUCCAGAUUGGAGAUUGGAGUCUCAAUUUUUAGUGCGCACUGGGACACGAUGUAACAGAAGAGGCAAGAAUGCAAUAAUGACUACGAAAAAUGCGCAGGCUGAACAGGCUGAAAAGAGGCUCCCGACUGCGAAAAACGUAUUCUUGGCUUUGCGAGGCGGCUGUCACGCUUACGGUGCUGUCAUUGCGUCGCUUCAAUUCCCCUCCUGUUCGGAGGAAUAAAUAACGAAGGGAAUUUCCAUGGAUUGCACCUUUUUUCUUCAAUCUAAUGAUCGAGCCCCCUUUCGUUUGAAAAUUAAACUGCAUAGAUCAUCCUCAACUGGGGCGUCAUGUGAGAGACAGUUACAUUUUGUUCGGAAUUUUGACUUUUGGAGCCACUAUGAUCUAUACGCUGCAAUAGAAUUGCGCGAAUGCCCUCUUUUUUACCUUUUUGGAGAUGCAUAGGAUUGCGCGAAUUUUUCUGGUACUAACAACUCACAUGUUUACGCAAAUAUUCAAUAUUCAACGAGGAAGCGUUAAUCCGGCAACCUUGGUAGUUUGUGAUAAAUAACUACAUCGCGAAGAACUGUCCAUUCCCUCCUCACUUACUGGCAUGUCUAAUGCAUUAUCUUAACU